rnacentral:rRNA from 1 species
CGAGGGGCAGCGGGGAGUAGCAAUACUUCGCCGGCGACCGGCGCACGGGUGAGUAACACGUGUGCAACCAACCCCGUACCGGGAGAUAACCCGCGGAAACGUGGACUAACAUCCCAUAAGACUCUAGAGCCGCAUGGCUCUGGAUUUAAAAUUCCGGUGGUACGGGACGGGCACGCGCGACAUUAGGUAGUUGGCGGGGUAACGGCCCACCAAGCCGACGAUGUCUAGGGGUUCUGAGAGGAAGGUCCCCCACACUGGAACUGAGACACGGUCCAGACUCCUACGGGAGGCAGCAGUGAGGAAUAUUGGUCAAUGGGCGAGAGCCUGAACCAGCCAAGUCGCGUGAGGGAUGAAUGGUCCAUGGCCUGUAAACCUCUUUUGUCAAGGAAGAAUAAAUUGCACGUGUGCGAUCUUGCCAGUGCUUGACGAAUAAGCAUCGGCUAACUCCGUGCCAGCAGCCGCGGUAAUACGGGGGAUGCGAGCGUUAUCCGGAUUUAUUGGGUUUAAAGGGCGCGUAGGCGGGACGCCAAGUCAGCGGUAAAAGACUGCAGCUAAACUGUAGCACGCCGUUGAAACUGGCGCCCUCGAGACGAGACGAGGGAGGCGGAACAAGUGAAGUAGCGGUGAAAUGCUUAGAUAUCACUUGGAACCCCGAUAGCGAAGGCAGCUUCCCGGCUCGAUCUGACGCUGAUGCGCGAGAGCGUGGGU